rnacentral:rRNA from 1 species
GUUGAACUCAAUUAAACCGUAGCAUCCACCCCUUGUUGUGCUCCCCCGCCAAUUGCUUUAAGUUUCAACCUUGCGGCCGUACUCCCCAGGCGGCAGACUUAACAGUUACCCUACGGUACUGCAAUCACACGUGGCAGUUGCAACACCAAAGUCUGCAUCAUUUACUGCUAGGGCUACUCGGGUAUCUAAUCCGAUUCGUUCUCCUAGCCUUCGUCACUCACCGUCGGAUGCGUUCUGGUCAGGCGCCUUCGCCACCGGUAGUCUUCAUAGGAUUACGGGAUUUUACUCUUACCCCAUGAAUACUCCUGACCUCUCCCGCUCCCUAGCCGAAAGGUAUCUUAUGCACGUAUUGACGUCAUGCGCCAAUAUUUCACACAAGACGGUUUCAGCCGGCUACGGACUCUUUAAGCCCAAUAAUAGUGAACACCACUUGUGCCGCCGGUAUUACCGUGGCGGCUGCCACCGGUCUUACCCAGCACUUAUUCUCCAAGCUUGCUAAACUUGGCAAAAGAUCCACCGAAGUGAAUCACUCAGACUCCCCCCAUCACGCUUCCGCGCAUUGUGGAGAUUGCGCGCCUGCUGCACGCCGUAGCGCUAGGGCCAUUGUCUCAGUGCCCUUCUCGGGGCUCUUACUCUCAUAUCCCCUACGGGUCAAAGGUAUGGUGGGCCGUUACCCCGCCAUCUGCCUGAUCCGACGCAGUCUCAUCGUAGAGCGGUAAUGCUCCAAUUCGCAACCUUUUCAGUUAGGACUCAUUCCAGAAUUCCUAUCC